rnacentral:lncRNA from 1 species
CGCGUCUGCGCACGGCCCCGGCCCGAAAGCGCCCCGCCGCGGCGGCUCUCGGGCACCUCCCGCCCGCGCGCCCCUCCCCGGGGUGGGCCUCGCGUCCGCUCGGGCGGAGCCAGCGGCUCAGAGGAAACCGCCCGUCCGCGGUGGCCCGAGCAGCUGCCGGCGAGGGGCGUGCGCUGCUGCCUCCGCGCCUCGGAGGCCCGCACGGCAGAGCCAUGGGUCCCGGCGAGCGCCCCGGCCCCAGCCCGGCGCGGAGCAGCGGCCCCGCGGGCCCCGCGAGCACGGCCGGCCGGGCGGCGAGCGCGCUGUGCCUGCUGCUCUCCGUGGGCUCGGCCGCCGCCUGCCUGCUGCUCGGCGCGCAGGGAGCCGCGCUGAGGGCGCGGGUGGCGGCGCUGGAGGACGAGCGGGAGCUGCUGCGGCGAGGGGCGCUGGCCGCCUGGGCCGGGCCGCACCUGGAGCGCCUGCUGCGGGAGAAGCUGGACGGACUCGCCAAGCUCCGGACUGCUCGGGAAGCCCCGUCGGAGUGUGUCUGUCCACCAGUGUGACAUCGCUAGCCCGGAGGAGCCUGGCCUUGAAGACUUUCUGAAAGACAGUUGCGUGCUGAUGAGAAGUGAGAGUCCGGCUGGGGUCGAAGCCCCUGCUCAAGUGCAUGACCUGGGGAGCCGUUGCCCUGCCCGGUCUCCAUCUCGGCGUCCAGCGGCUGGCGCCAUCCUUGUCUUCUUCCCGUGUAGUACAGCACACAGUGGACAACACCGUGGCGAGACCCCUUGUUGCUUUAGUUAGCAGCACACCCUACAGACCUUGCUCUGUCAGCAUAUGCAGAGCUUCCUCACUCAUUUUGCAGCUGUAUAGUAAAUUCCUUUAUGCCACGGGCCCAGGUUUCUCUAAGCAGACCCCUUCCCAUAGACAUUUAGGUUGUGUCCACUCUUUCCAUUACAAACAAUGGUAUAAAUCUAUGUAUAGCAGUAGCCCCUCUUCCCCAGGAUUUUACAUUCCAUGCUUUCGGUACUGGAUAUCAACCAUGGCUCAAAGAGAGUGAAAAUCUGAAAGAUUUCAGAAAUAAUUCAUAAGUUUUAAAUAAGUUUUACUACAG